GUCUGAAUGAGUUUUUGGUUGUUGUAGUUUCUUGUUUUCAUCAGCAGGGCGCGCAAUUUCACUCACAUAAGCACUAGUCGCGCUCUUAGCUACCGUGUUUGUUCUGCUGGGUUGUUUGUUUUUUCUUGCACUGAUGCCGACGAGAGCAGACGCACUACGGCUGAGAGAGAGCAUGUUAAUGUUAAAAACUCGAUGAAACGUGAUUAAAACUUUAUUUCAUUUUUGAGUAAAUUGUUUUUGGGUGCUGGACAACACUGUGUCAUCGUGUUUUGUGAGAAGAAAAACUCCGGUUGUUGUUUUGUAUGAGUGGAUUGUGAUGGAGCCAGAGCCCGGACCAGAGGGACGUGGAGCAGUAAACCUGCUUACAUGCGUGGAGGGUGUAACGUCGGAGGCAGAUUCAUCGCGCAUCUGGAGCUCAUCUACCACAUCAUACAGAUGAGAAACAAAACCACACUACCCGGCAUGUUUGGAUUGCUGCUGCUGCUGCUGGUGGUGGUGGCCCCUCUCCCCUUCACUCCCCCACCCCUGUAGGCCUCUCUGACAGUCACCCUGUACUGGUAAAUGUUUCAGUGUAGUGACAUUUUAGCAUAUAGAAAUACUUUUACAAUAAUAUGGCUUUAUUGUUAAGCUAAGUCCUCCUACUAUUUAACUGAUGUGAGAUUUACUUACGUAAAUAAAAACUGAAAAUUGUUCAAUACUAGAAAUUCACCUCUCUGCUCCUCUUUUCCUCUUAAAACAUAAGAACUUGUAUUCAGUGUGGUAUUCUCUGUGUGGAAGUCCCAGAGUGGCGUUGUUGCAUUGUCAGAGGUGUAUAGCUAUAACUGUAAUAAAGCUGGUUCUGUUUCUGACU